rnacentral:lncRNA from 1 species
ACAAAUUAUAGAUGUUGAAGCUGUGGCAACAACGAGAUCUGCAAGCAUUUAAUCUGAUAUGCCUUCCUAAACCACAGAUUAUUUUUUCUUGAAAAGCCUUGGAGAAGGAUAAGCCAGAAAGAUUGCAAGGGACAGAUAAAUUCUAUGUGUACAGGAGGUAUUAUCUUCUGAGAAUUUCUCAAAAGAAUAAAACAAAUGAACUGGG